rnacentral:tRNA from 1 species
GCUUUGACGAAGCUAAUAAGCAUUGGUCUUGUAAACCAAAGACAAGAGUCUAACUCUCCAAAGCU